UACGGAGGGUGCAAGCGUUAUCCGGAUUCACUGGGUUUAAAGGGUGCGUAGGCGGGUUGGUAAGUCAGUGGUGAAAUCUUCAAGCUUAACUUGGAAACUGCCGUUGAUACUAUCAAUCUUGAAUAUUGUGGAGGUAAGCGGAAUAUGUCAUGUAGCGGUGAAAGUGCUUAGAUAUGACAUAGAACACCGAUAGCGAAGGCAGCUUGGCUACACAGUAAUUGACGCUGAGGCACGAAAGCGUGGGGAUCAAACAGG
rnacentral:rRNA from 1 species